AGCCACUCCAGCCCUCAGACACCACUCCACGAUUUUGGGAUCCAGAAGAAGAGAGGAGGAACCUCUCCCUGUCUGAAUAGAAGAGAUGUGGUCGCUGGAACCCGGGAUCAGAGCUCAAACCUGACUGCUCCAGUCCCUUCUGGCACUGGAAUUCCUGGACAGUUAUCCAGAUGUGACAGAGAUCCUCUUCCGUGCCAAACCAACGCUGAACAGGAACAUCUGGGUUCCUAAACCAGGAAUUAUAAGGGCUGGGGAAUGCUGAACAUCAGCACUUGGGUUUGUGUCAGCUGGAUAUCAACGGGGUGUCCUCAAUCCCCACCUCCAGCAUUUCAUCUGCCCACAGACGAGGAAAAAAAGAGAUUAAAAGGAAACAUUUUUUGCAAGCUCUGCUUAGAAGGAAAAGGCUUUUUUCCUCCUUGCUCCCCUGUUUCUAAACCUGGUCCUCCCUGAAGCUCUGCGUGGCCCUGACACCCUCCUGGAGGUGCCUUUCAAAUCGUGUUUCUUUCAUGUCCCACUCCAAACCAAACAUCCCUGGCCUUGUUUCUGCUGCAGGAGCUGAGAAUUCCCGAGGGUUUAUUGUGGCAGGUGAGCACCCCGGUGACCCUGAGGAGGCAGCUGAGUUUUGUGCUGCUUUCAAGACCUUUUAUGGAUUCAUUUCGUGCUCCAGGACAUCACAGAAUGGUCGAAUCCCCGUUUUAGAAGGGCCUGAUCAAAUCCCACUCUGCUCCUUGGCUUUGCAGCUCUGCGUGGAGGGCCCAGCCCUGGCUCUGCCUCCUCCUGACUGCAGAGUGAGGAUGUUUGGGAUGAAUUUGUGUUUCCCUGUGCUGGGGAGGGUGAAACAGGGAAACCUUAUGAAUGUGAUUGUUUGGCAGAAGAUUCUAAAAUUAUGAAGGCUGGAAUGGAAGUAGCAAUGAAAGCCUGCUUUGAGUUAGAGGAUACUGAGUACUGGUUAACCAAAGAACAAUGAUCUAGCCAGCUAGAGGAGAAUCCCUGCUGAUAAAACAUUGUCCUUCUGCUGAUAGAAAGCCCAAAGGUCAAGAAGCAAGGAGAGAACCUGUAAAGCUUUUAGAGUUUAAAAUGCAGCACUGUAUGUUAAUAUAGGGAAGGUUGUAUGUAAAUUAUUUAGUGGGUGUGUCUCAUGGUGAUUGGUUACUGAGAAUUAGAAUAUUCAUGAUAGAAAAGGAUAUAUUGGAUUGGAACAAGAACUUUGCUCUCUCAACUUUUCUCUCCGACCUCUGAACCCCUCUCCCUUACCCCUUACCCCUCUCCCCACUCUUAACUCUCAGCCCCCUCUCCCUGCUCCGACCCCUCUCAUCCUCCCUGCUCUCUCCUCUGGUUUUUCCCUCUUUCCCUCUGUUUCUCUUCCUCCCUCCCUCCCCUUUUCCAACCUCUCCUCUCCUGCUCUCCCUGCUCUCUCCCCUCCCCUGGCCCACGAGGAUGCCGAGGCUGGUGGUGGACACAGGUCUCCCCUCCUUUUACCCUUAUAAUAAAUUGUUUAUACCUGAACAGCCUGAGCCUGGAGAAGUGUCUCACCACGAGCGAGUUUUUACACAGCAAUAUUCCUGGAGCCAGGAACCUGCUCCACCACCUGUUGGAAAUGGGGCAGGGAGCGAUGGCUUUUCAGGGAUGUGACUUUCCCAGUGCUCUCAUUCCAUCACUGUGAUUAUUCCACAGCUUUCCGAGUGUUAAAACCCAACUUUACACAUUUUUGGAGCUUCUGCAAACGUCCUUGUGUCCGAUUCCGUGAUAAAAGCACAUCCUCUGCCCCAAAA